rnacentral:rRNA from 1 species
UACGGAGGAUGCGAGCGUUAUCCGGAUUUAUUGGGUUUAAAGGGUGCGUAGGCGGGCUGUUAAGUCAGCGGUCAAAUGUCGGGGCUCAACCCCGGCCUGCCGUUGAAACUGGUGGCCUCGAGUGGGCGAGAAGUAUGCGGAAUGCGUGGUGUAGCGGUGAAAUGCAUAGAUAUCACGCAGAAUUCCGAUUGCGAAGGCAGCAUACCGGCGCCCGACUGACGCUGGGGCACGAAAGCGUGGGUAUCGAACAGG